rnacentral:rRNA from 1 species
AUCCUUGGGUGGAACCCCUAGCGGCAGGAUUUAAUACAUGCAACUCGAACGGGAUUUGAGUAGCAAUACUUAAUGAGUAGUGGCGCACGGGUGCGUAACGCGUAUGCAACCUACCUUUAACAGGGGGAUAGCUCCGAGAAAUCGGGAUUAAUACCCCAUAGUAUUAUUGAUUGGCAUCGAUUAAUAAUUAAAGCUCCGGCGGUUAAAGAUGGGCAUGCGUGCCAUUAGCUAGUUGGUGAGGUAAGGGCUCACCAAGGCGAUGAUGGCUAGGGGUUCUGAGAGGAUUAUCCCCCACACUGGUACUGAGACACGGACCAGACUCCUACGGGAGGCAGCAGUAAGGAAUAUUGGGCAAUGGACGCAAGUCUGACCCAGCCAUGCCGCGUGCAGGAAGACGGCCCUAUGGGUUGUAAACUGCUUUUAUCAGGGAAUAAACCCCCGGAUGUAUCCGGGGCUGAAUGUACCUGAAGAAUAAGCAUCGGCUAACUCCGUGCCAGCAGCCGCGGUAAUACGGAGGAUGCAAGCGUUAUCCGGAUUCAUUGGGUUUAAAGGGUGCGCAGGCGGAUUAUUAAGUCAGUGGUGAAAUCCUACAGCUCAACUGUAGAACUGCCAUUGAUACUGAUAAUCUUGAGUAUAUUUGAAGUGGGC